UAAGGUGGCUAUAGCAGGGAGGUCCCACCUCUUCCCAUUCCGAACAGAGAAGUUAAGCUCCCUAGCGCCGAUGGUACUAUUCGAAAGGAUGGAAGAGUAGGUCGCCGCCAACC
rnacentral:rRNA from 1 species